AUACGUAGGGGGCGAGCGUUAUCCGGAAUUAUUGGGGGCGUAAAGGGUGCGUAGGUGGUCUGAUAAGCGUGGGGUGAAAGGCAAUAGCUUAACUAUUGUAAGCCUUGCGAACUGUCAGACUUGAGUGCAGGAGAGGAAAGUGGAAUUCCUAGUGUAGCGGUGAAAUGCGUAGAUAUUAGGAGGAACACCAGUGGCGAAGGCGACUUUCUGGACUGUAACUGACACUGAGGCACGAAAGCGUGGGGAGC
rnacentral:rRNA from 1 species